rnacentral:sRNA from 1 species
AGAAUGCGCCUUUCAGGCAUCCUCUCCCAUACCUUUCAAAGCCCGGCCUCGUGCCGGGUUUUUUUUUGUGCGCGGC